rnacentral:rRNA from 1 species
UACAGAGGUCUCAAGCGUUUGUUCGGAUUCAUUGGGCGUAAAGGGUGUGUAGGUGGCGCCGUAAGUCGGGGUGUGAAAUCUCGGGGCUUAACUCCGAAACUGCAUUCGAUACUGCGGUGCUUGAGGACUGGAGAGGAGACUGGAAUUCAUGGUGUAGCAGUGAAAUGCGUAGAGAUCAUGAGGAAGACCAGUGGCGAAGGCGGGUCUCUGGACAGUUCCUGACACUGAGACACGAAGGCCAGGGGAGCAAACGGG